rnacentral:rRNA from 1 species
GGCUAACGCUGGCGGCGUGUCUUAGCCAUGCAAGUCGAGCGGACUUAUGGGGUAACUUAUAAGUCAGCGGCGGACGGCGGAGUAACACGUAGCUAACCUACCCUCUGGACGGGGAUAACCUACCGAAAGGUGGGCUAAUACCCGAUGUAGUCAUCCUGUAUAGGGGUGAUGAAAGGUGGGCUUCUGUUUACAAGCUCAUGCUGGAGGAGGGGGCUGCGGCCUAUCAGGUAGUUGGUAGGGUAAUAGCCUACCAAGCCGAUGACGGGUAGCCGGCCUGAGAGGGUGACCGGCCCGAGGGGCACUGAGAUACGGGUCCCACUCCUACGGGAGGCAGCAGGCUAGAAAUUUGGGCAAUGGGGGAAACCCUGACCCAGUGACGCCGCGUGCAGGAAGGAGCCCUUCGGGGUGUAAACUGCUGUCGUGUAGGGAGAAGGGGUACUAAGGUGAACAAUCUUAGUACUUGACGGUACUACAGGAGGAAGCCCAGGCUAACCUCGUG